rnacentral:tRNA from 1 species
GGGCCCGUGGUCUAGUGGCUAUGACGCCACCUUGACAUGGUGGAGGCCGAGGGUUCAAAUCCCUCCGGGCCCACCA